rnacentral:rRNA from 1 species
UACGUAGGGGGCAAGCGUUGUCCGGAUUUAUUGGGCGUAAAGAGCGUGUAGGCGGCCAGAUAGGUCCGUUGUGAAAACUCGAGGCUCAACCUCGAGACGCCGAUGGAAACCAUUUGGCUAGAGUCCAGAAGAGGAGAGUGGAAUUCCUGGUGUAGCGGUGAAAUGCGCAGAUAUCAGGAAGAACACCCGUGGCUAAGGCGGCUCUCUGGACGGAUACUGACGCUGAGACGCGACAGCGUGGGGAGCAAACAGG